rnacentral:rRNA from 1 species
GUGGGGAAUCUUCCGCAAUGGACGAAAGUCUGACGGAGCAACGCCGCGUGAGUGAAGAAGGUUUUCGGAUCGUAAAGCUCUUUCGUUAGGGACGAACGUGCUCUUUGUGAAUAAUGAGGAGUAAUGACGGUACCUAAAUAAGAAGCCACGGCUAACUACGUGCCAGCAGCCGCGGUAAUACGUAGGUGGCAAGCGUUGUCCGGAAUUAUUGGGCGUAAAGCGCGCGCAGGCGGGAUAUCAAGUCUGUCUUAAAAGUGCGAGGCUCAACCUCGUGAGGGGACAGAAACUGGUAUUCUUGAGUGUCGGAGAGGAAAGUGGAAGUCCAAGUGUAGCGGUGAAAUGCGUAGAGAUUUGGAAGAACACCAGUGGCGAAGGCGACUUUCUGGACGAUGUCUGACGCUGAGGCGCGAAAGCUAGGGGAGCGAACGGGAUUAGAUACCCGUGUAGUCC